UCGACACUUCGCCGGAUGUUCAUCCCUGGCUUCGCGAGAUGUCUUUUCCUCGCUUCACUAUUGUCGAGAUUAGCUUUAAGCCCUCGUCUACCUGAGGCCAGCUUAUAAAACUCUAAUAGGUCGACACUUCGCCAGAUGUUUAUCCCUGACUUCGCGAGAUGUGUUCUCCUCGCUUCACUAUCGUCGAGUAGAGUUCUAAGUCCUCUACAUUCCGAGGCUGCUUAUGGCUUCGAUAGUUCGAG
rnacentral:lncRNA from 1 species